AUCGACAGCUAAGGGGAUUUUAUGGGAUAAAUAUGUAAAUAAAAGGCGCAAUUUUCGACGACUACAAAUAAUCACAAAGAAAUCCAAUACAUCUACCAUCACUUCACCUGUUCAACAAAGUGAAAAUGACAAUAUUUCAAGUGAGGAACUUCAGGAGUUGGACACAUGGCUGCGCAACAAUGUAAUGCCGUGGAAUCUUGUCAUAGAAAAUUGGCAAAAAACGCUCCGAAUUAGACAAAAAUUUGAAACAAUAGACACUUAUUUCCGAGACUAUCCUUCUUUAAGGCAACCUUCUGGGUAUUUGUUGUUGGAACUUGACUUUGACGCAUUAUUUACUGGAAAAGGAAACCACUUACUAAAUAAGUGGCUAAAUUUUUCCGAGCGGAUACUUAAACUAGUAGAAACAAAAAAAGACAACACAACAGGCAAAAAUUUUCUGAAGAACUAUAAUUACCAAUCAUAUAAUGAAAGACAAAAAGAAGUAUUGGGAUUUGCAUUAUUACCGCUAAUUAUACCACCCUGUCCCAUUAAAUAAAAAAAAAGUGGUACGCGAUACAAACCUUCGAAAGUAGAAACACAAGAAGCAUUUUGUUGUAUUAUAGAGGAUAUUAGCAAAUUAGAAGAAAAGUUGGAGAGUCGAAGGAAUAAACUCUUAACUUUUGGUGAAACAUUACAACCAUCCGUAGUUUUAGUUGGAACUGUAGACGGAAUUACAUCUUCUUACGUAAUCAUCAAUGACACUCAAUAUAAAUUGGAAACACCAAUGAAAGCUGUAGAUGUCUGUUUCAAGGUAUAUCAUGCAACUAAUGCCAAGUAUCCAAUAGAAGCGGAACAUAUUUGGACGUUUAUACAGCAAUAUAUUUAUGAAAUUUAUACGCCAUCGGAUAGAUCGUUUGUAAGUUUGAAUGCAUUCACUUCAGAUAUAAAUAGCAUAGUAACCUAAGAAAAUGAAAUGUUUUAAGUGCAAAUGUGAACUAAGCUCAAACACUUUACUUCUUUCACAUUUAAAGCAUGUGCAUUAUUUAAAACACCAAGAUAUUCAUAAGUGUAUUGACUGCAAUCGAACAUACAGUAACUUAAAUGCAUUCAAAAAGCAUUUAAAUAAAAAUCACGUUUUGAUAUCUAAUUCUACUUUAAGGGAGGCUACUCCUUUAGACAGUGCAAUAAGUUUGGAUGUUCCAUUGAAUCAAUCAAUUAAUUUGCUAGAUAACGUUAACCAUGAGUCAGUACAUUCACCACAUGAUUUUGUAACCCCCCUUUAUCCAAAAAAUAACAUAGACAUUAAUGCAGAAUGCCUUAAAUUAGUUAGUAGUUUAUACUGCCAUUCUUACGUUAAUCGUAAUUCUGUUCAAAUAUUUGUUGAAAGUAUUAAACGAUUCAUUGACGAUUUU